rnacentral:rRNA from 1 species
AUUGAACGCUGGCGGCAGGCCUAACACAUGCAAGUCGAGCGAGCGGCGGACGGGUGAGUAAUGUAUGGGGACUGCCCGCUAGAGGGGGAUAACUACUGGAAACGGUGGCUAAUACCGCAUACUAUCGGAUAUCCCAUAUUGGAUUAGCUAGUAGGUGGGGUAACGGCUCACCUAGGCGACGAUCACUAGCUGGUCUGAGAGGAUGAUCAGCCAAACUGUGACUGAGACACGGCCCAGACGCAUGCGGAGGCAGCAGUGGGGAAUAUUGCACAAUGGGCGCAAGCCUGAUGCAGCCAUGCCGCAUGUAUGAAGAAGGCCUUAGGGUUGUAAAGUACUUUAGGCGGGGAGGCGGUACCCGCAGAAGAAGCACCGGCUAACUCCGUGCCAGCAGCCGCGGUAAUUC